GAUGAACGCUGGCGGCGUGCCUAAUACAUGCAAGUCGAGCGAACGGACGAGAAGCUUGCUUCUCUGAUGUUAGCGGCGGACGGGUGAGUAACACGUGGAUAACCUACCUAUAAGACUGGGAUAACUUCGGGAAACCGGAGCUAAUACCGGAUAAUAUUUUGAACCGCAUGGUUCAAAAGUGAAAGACGGUCUUGCUGUCACUUAUAGAUGGAUCCGCGCUGCAUUAGUUAGUUGGUAAGGUAACGGCUUACCAAGGCAACGAUGCAUAGCCGACCUGAGAGGGUGAUCGGCCACACUGGAACUGAGACACGGUCCAGACUCCUACGGGAGGCAGCAGUAGGGAAUCUUCCGCAAUGGGCGAAAGCCUGACGGAGCAACGCCGCGUGAGUGAUGGGGGUCUUCGGAUCGUAAAACUCUGUUAUUAGGGAAGAACAUAUGUGUAAGUAACUGUGCACAUCUUGACGGUACCUAAUCAGAAAGCCACGGCUAACUACGUG
rnacentral:rRNA from 1 species